rnacentral:rRNA from 1 species
UACGUAGGGGGCAAGCGUUAUCCGGAUUUACUGGGUGUAAAGGGAGCGUAGACGGCAAGACAAGCCUGGAGUGAAAGGCGGGGGCCCAACCCCCGGACUGCUCUGGGAACUGUCUGGCUGGAGUGCAGGAGGGGUAAGUGGAAUUCCUAGUGUAGCGGUGAAAUGCGUAGAUAUUAGGAGGAACACCGGUGGCGAAGGCGGCCUGCUGGACUGCAACUGACGUUGAGGCCCGAAAGCGUGGGGAGCAAACAGG